AAUGAACGCUGGCGGCAGGCCUAACACAUGCAAGUCGAACGGAUCCUUCGGGAUUAGUGGCGGACGGGUGAGUAACGCGUGGGAACAUACCCAAAGGUACGGAAUAGCCUCGGGAAACUGGGAGUAAUACCGUAUGUGCUCGAAAGAGGAAAGAUUUAUCGCCUUUGGAUUGGCCCGCGUUGGAUUAGGUAGUUGGUGGGGUAAUGGCCUACCAAGCCGACGAUCCAUAGCUGGUUUGAGAGGAUGAUCAGCCACACUGGGACUGAGACACGGCCCAGACUCCUACGGGAGGCAGCAGUGGGGAAUCUUAGACAAUGGGGGAAAUCCUGAUCUAGCCAUGCCGCGUGAUCGAUGAAGGCCUUAGGGUUGUAAAGAUCUUUCAGGUGGGAAGAUAAUGACUGUACACCAGAAGAAGCCCCGGCUAACUCCGUGCCAGCCGCCGCUGUAA
rnacentral:rRNA from 1 species